rnacentral:misc_RNA from 1 species
AAGGAUCAUUACCGAGUGCGGGCCCUCUGGGUCCAACCUCCCAUCCGUGUCUAUCUGUACCCUGUUGCUUCGGCGUGGCCACGGCCCGCCGGAGACUAACAUUUGAACGCUGUCUGAAGUUUGCAGUCUGAGUUUUUAGUUAAACAAUCGUUAAAACUUUCAACAACGGAUCUCUUGGUUCCGGCAUCGAUGAAGAACGCAGCGAAAUGCGAUAAUUAAUGUGAAUUGCAGAAUUCAGUGAAUCAUCGAGUCUUUGAACGCACAUUGCGCCCCCUGGUAUUCCGGGGGGCAUGCCUGUCCGAGCGUCAUUGCUGCCCUCAAGCACGGCUUGUGUGUUGGGCUUCCGUCCCUGGCAACGGGGACGGGCCCAAAAGGCAGUGGCGGCACCAUGUCUGGUCCUCGAGCGUAUGGGGCUUUGUCACCCGCUCCCGUAGGUCCAGCUGGCAGCUAGCCUCGCAACCAAUCUUUUUAACCAGGUUGACCUCGGAUCAGGUAGGGAUACCCGCUGAACUUAAGCAUAUCAAUAAACGGAGGAA